CAGCCGCCGCGGUAAUACGAAGGGGGCUAGCGUUGUUCGGAAUUACUGGGCGUAAAGCGCAUGUAGGCGGAUAUUUAAGUCAGGGGUGAAAUCCCAGAGCUCAACUCUGGAACUGCCUUUGAUACUGGGUAUCUUGAGUAUGGAAGAGGUAAGUGGAAUUCCGAGUGUAGAGGUGAAAUUCGUAGAUAUUCGGAGGAACACCAGUGGCGAAGGCGGCUUACUGGUCCAUUACUGACGCUGAGGUGCGAAAGCGUGGGGAGCAAACAGGAUUAGAUACCCCCGUAGUCCCUGUCUCUUAUAA
rnacentral:rRNA from 1 species